rnacentral:rRNA from 1 species
UACGUAGGGAGCAAGCGUUGUUCGGAUUUACUGGGCGUAAAGGGCGCGUAGGCGGCGCGGUAAGUCACUUGUGAAAUCUCUGAGCUUAACUCAGAACGGCCAAGUGAUACUGCAGUGCUAGAGUGCAGAAGGGGCAAUCGGAAUUCUUGGUGUAGCGGUGAAGUGCGUAGAUAUCAAGAGGAACACCUGAGGUGAAGACGGGUUGCUAGGCUGACACUGACGCUGAGGCGCGAAAGCCAGGGGAGCAAACGGG